GAGAGAGACAAGCCUAGAGGAGAAAAAGUUCUGCAGCGAGUCGAUAGAAGUCCAAACAGGAGGCGGCUCAGGUGCAUGACACACUCCAGAAAGAGAGUGGUGAGGACUGCGGAAAAGAUCAUCUGGACUCCUCUUCCUCCUAUCCAGGAAAUCGCAAAAAGCCGCUGCCUGACCAGGGCUCAGAAAAUCUGCAGAGACUCCUCCCAUCCUCACCAAGGACUCUUUUCACUGCUGGACUCUAGAAAGAGGUUCCGCAGCUUCCGUAGCAGAACCUCCAGGUUCUGUAACAGCUUCUUCCCUCAGGCCAUAAGAUUCUUGAACGCAUCAUAAUAAUCCCCUCAAUUCCCCCCAAAAACGGAUUAACUCGCUGGAAUAUAAAGCCAAUAUAACAUACAUCCAUAAACGUGGAUGCAUAUGCAAAAGUGCAAUAUAUUUAUCUGUACAGUAAUCUAUUUAUAUCUGCAUCUAACUGCUCUUCUAUCCUGCACUACCAUGAGCUAAUGCAACACAUAUUCGUUCUUAUCUGUACUGUAAAGUUCAAAUUUGAAUGACAAUAAAAAGGAAGUCUAGUCUAAAUAUUAUUGUCAGCGAUGGAGCAGGAAGGGGAUUGGAAUAUGUUUCACAUAAUAGCAAAAAAGAUUUACAUUUGUGCAGCACUUGUACAUUCAUUCACAUUCAUAUGCCAGUGUCAGCGGCACAGGAAGCAAGGUUGGUAAAAUGUCUUGCCCAAGGACACAACGGCCUGGAACCCUCAAGUUGCUGGCACGGCCGCUCUACCAUGUGAGCCACGCUAUCCCUCACAUAAACUGCCUUCUCAUUCUUUAACUGACAUUUUACAUGCACUUAUUCAUGCAAAACGGGCCCCCCCACAAACCACGCCAGCAUACACAUAGAGAUAUGUUCAGCCGUGUAACAUAAACGUACACUACCGUUCAAAAGUUUGGGGUCACAUUGAAAUGUCCUUAUUUUUGAAGGAAAAGCACUGUACUUUUCAAUGAAGAUAACUUUAAACUAGUCUUAACUUUAAAGAAAUACACUCUAUACAUUGCUCGUGUGGUAAAUAACUAUUCUAGCUGCAAAUGUCUGGUUUUUUGGUGCAAUAUCUACAUAGGUGUAUAGAGGCCCAUUUCCAGCAACUAUCACUCCAGUGUUCUAAUGGUACAAUGUGUUUGCUCAUUGGCUCAGAAGGCUAAUUGAUGAUUAGAAAACCCUUGUGGAAUCAUGUUCACACAUCUGAAAACAGUUUAGCUCGUUACAGAAGCUACAAAACUGACCUUCCUUUGAGCAAAUUGAGUUUCUGGAGCAUCACAUUUGUGGGGUCAAUUAAACACUCAAAAUGGCCAGAAAAAGAGAACUUUCAUCUGAAACUCGACAGUCUAUUCUUGUUCUUAGAAAUGAAGGCUAUUCCACAAAAUUGUUUGGGUGACCCCAAACUUUUGAACGGUAGUGUACGUCAAUGUAGCAAAAAGUAUCUGAAAUUUAAUCGGUUGUUUCUAAUCCCAUUUCUGGCAUUUCCUAAAAGUAUCUUCAGUUUUUGCAUUAUGUUGUAAACUAGUGAUUUUCAAACUGUGGUACUCGUACCACUGGUGGUACGCAGGCUCCAUGUAGCUGUACUCUAAAGAAGUCUGUAAUAUGUACCGUAUAUUGAGUGUCAUUGUUAAUAUCUGUUUAUUGUGUGUAAUGUUACAGUGGCCAAA